rnacentral:piRNA from 1 species
UAUGCAUAGUCAUGUUGCCUGGUCACCACCU